CGGUACGUACUGGCAUUGUUGGUUUCUCCCUUCUGACGAACCAUGAUGUCAUUUAUUUGGUGUUGUGGGGAAUCAGGACUGUUACUUUGAAAAAAUUAGAGUGUUUAAAGCAGGCUCACGCUUGAAUACAUUAGCAUGGAAUAAUGAAAUAGGACGUUUGAUACUAUUUUGUUGGUUUCUAGGAUCGACGUAAUGAUUAAUAGGGAUAGUUGGGGGCAUUAGUAUUCAAUUGUCAGAGGUGAAAUUCUUGGAUUUAUUGAAGACUAACUACUGCGAAAGCAUUUGCCAAGGAUGUUUUCAUUAAUCAAGAACGAAAGUUAGGGGUUCGAAGACGAUCAGAUACCGUCGUAGUCUUAACCAUAAACUAUGCCGACUAGGGAUCGGAUGAUGUUAAUUUUUUAAUGACUCAUUCGGCGCCUUACG
rnacentral:rRNA from 1 species